CUAACCGGCCACACGAAUGCGCUGCUGUUUUAAAGGAAACCAUAUAUAAAUUCGUUGAUAUUUUUGUUUUUCUAAAUAAAACAGAACUUUUUUCUUUCUUACUCCUUUCAAGAGACCUUUGAGACUAUAUUUACAGACUUUAGCAAGGAAGUCCAAACUAUUUUAACUCUGAGCCAGACUAGAAAAUUCACGGAGAAAUUUUUGACAGAGGAUGUGGAAAAAGCGCUGUAAUAGGAUUUUCAAUGGUUGGUUCAAGACAACGCCGC
rnacentral:lncRNA from 1 species